CAAGUGCUACAGGAAGUGUGGAGUGAAAGGUCAAGUGCUACAGGAAGUGUGGGGUGAAAGGUCAAGUGCUACAGGAAGUGUGGGGUGAAAGGUCAAGUGCUACAGGAAGUGUGGGGUGAAAGGUCAAGUGCUACAGGAAGUGUGGGGUGAAAGGUCAAGUGCUACAGGAAGUGUGGGGUGAAAGGUCAAGUGCUACAGGAAGUGUGGGGUGAAAGGUCAAGUGCUACAGGAAGUGUGGGGUGAAAGGUCAAGUGCUACAGGAAGUGUGGAGUGAAAGGUCAAGUGCUACAGGAAGUGUGGAGUGAAAGGUCAAGUGCUACAGGAAGUGUGGAGUGAAAGGUCAAGUGCUACAGGAAGUGUGGAGUGAAAGGUCAAGUGCUACAGGAAGUGCGGGGUGAAUGGUCAAGUGCUACAGGAAGUGUGGAGUGAAAGGUCAAGUGCUACAGGAAGUGUGG